UGAUCUCACUAGUUAGUUUAUGGCAGAAGUGGCGCCCAAGAGGGGACAUAUUAGAUUAAAUAGGUUGGGUGUGAGCGCACUAUAGAAAUAAGGAAUUGGUGACAUUUAGGGGUCACAAAAGUACCAGGAGGUACUGAAGCGACGAGACGUUAAAUUAUUAAUAAUGGGAAAUUCGACUUCUACUGAUAAGGACAUGUACUUGACUAUUUUAGAAACGAUAAUUAAUCAGAAAGGAAGGCAAAUAAAAAAGACUCAGUUGUUACAAUUCUUAAAGGUUGUAGGUGAAUUUUGCCCUUGGUUUUGUGACCAAGAUUCGCCAAAUUUACAUACUUGGGACAAAUUAGGAAGGAAAUUACAUAAAAUCUGCCUUUCUAAUGAAUUACCUGGAAAUUUUGAUAACAUUCAAAGAGUAUGGACUGCUUUAGAAAUUUGUCUUUUUGAUUACAUGGGCCAUAGUCCAUGGCCCCCUGAAUAUCUGUUGAAGGGUAUUCAGAGAGCCAUUAAGUCUAUUCAAAUGGAAAACCUGUCUGAGGCUAAGGUAAUCUCCCUUCCCUUAAGCCCAAUGAAGACAAAAGCUCUCGGGGCUAAACCGAAAGUGAGAAAUGUAAGCUUGCCUGAAGUGAGUCAGGGUAACUUGGAGGAAGAUCAUAGAGACAAAGAUCAUAGAAAGGAAGCCUCCGGAGGUAUAGAUAGUUCUCUUCCCGGAGGGAUAGAAAGUAAUCCUCCUGGAGAGGAAAAUCCAGAAGAAAUUCCUAGAGAGGUAAAGAGCCCUUCUCCACCACGUGGCUUACAAGCCCAAUUUCAAAAUGGCGACAGUGAAAAUUCAGCUGAGGAGUCGCAGUCUGAGGGAGAGGAAUCAGACAUUGAAAUCCAGGACUUGCGGGGACAUUUUAACAGGCUGCCUUUAACACCGCCUGCCCAGGCUAUUAGAAUUCGGCCAUUGUCUGCUAAAAGGACAAAAUUUAACAGAUUGUACGUGCCCAGCCCAUAGAUGGAGCCCUAUCUGUGUUCACUGAUGGUUCAAGCUCAGAAGGGGCUUUUCGUCCUAUCUGGGUGCCUGAACGUGCAAUCAGACAUGGAAGAGAUAGAACCGAGGUUCAAGCGACUGAAGAUCGACCCGGAGAAGCCCCCACUCAAAAGGAAGAGAUAUCGGAAAAAGACAAAGAGAAACCAGAUUGACCCAGCCGAAAAGCUGAUUUCAUGGGAAGACGUGAAGAAGCUAACAACACAGGCUUCCCGAAUAAUUCGACUCCUAGGAAAAAACAAGACCCCAGUGAUGAUGGUAGCUACCGUGAUUGCCCUGCUGGGCUGUCAGGAUGGUGAGUCUUCGGAGCAAAAGUGCUUUCUUACUGUAUCGAGAGAGUAAAUCAUCGCCUGAUUUUUUUAAAAGAAAAAAGGAGGGAUAUGUGGGAAGCCGUUCUCGCACGUGAUUGAGCUAUCUUCCUGGCUGGGUGUGAGGCGCUCAGACAAGCAAGCUGUGUUAGAGUGUGGGAAGCCAUUCUCGCACGUGAUUGGGCAACUCCCAGAUUGGGUGUGAGGCGCUCUGGCUAAACUGUGUCGGAGCUUUCCCGACCCUCUCCUGGUGCGAGAGCCUGUCCGUGUGGGGGGGGUGACUGACCACUGACCCUGACCUUGGAAUGCUGUCCCCCUCGACCUUCAUUGGAUGGAAUUUUCCCCUGAAUUUUUUGUUCCCCAAUAAAAGCUCACUUUCUGGCAUGGUC